rnacentral:rRNA from 1 species
UACAGAGGUCCCAAGCGUUUGUUCGGAUUCAUUGGGCGUAAAGGGUGUGUAGGUGGCGCCGUAAGUCGGGUGUGAAAUCCCCGGGCUCAACCCGGGAACUGCGUCCGAUACUGGAAGGCUUGAAUCCGGGAGAGGGAUGCGGAAUUCCAGGUGUAGCGGUGAAAUGCGUAGAUAUCUGGAGGAACACCGGUGGCGAAGGCGGCAUCCUGGACCGGCAUUGACGCUGAGGCGCGAAAGCCAGGGGAGCAAACGGG